CCUACGGGUGGCAGCAGUCGAGAAUCAUUCACAAUGGGGGAAACCCUGAUGGUGCGACGCCGCGUGGGGGAAUGAAGGUCUUCGGAUUGUAAACCCCUGUCAUGUGGGAGCAAAUUAACAAGAUAGUACCACAAGAGGAAGAGACGGCUAACUCUGUGCCAGCAGCCGCGGUAAUACAGAGGUCUCAAGCGUUGUUCGGAUUCACUGGGCGUAAAGCGUGCGUAGGCUGUUUCGUAAGUCGUGUGUGAAAGGCGCGGGCUCAACCGGCGGACGGCAUAUGAUACUGGGAGACUAGAGUAAAGAAGGGGGGAGUGGAAUUCUCGGUGUAGCAGUGAAAUGCGUAGAUAUAGAGAGGAACACUCGUGGCGAAGGCGGGUUCCUGGACAUUAACUGACGCUGAGGCACGAAGGCCAGGGGAGCGAAAGGGAUUAGAUACCCUUGUAGUC
rnacentral:rRNA from 1 species